CUACGGGGGGCACCAGUGGGGAAUAUUGGACAAUGGGGGAAACCCUGAUCCAGCAAUGCCGCGUGUGUGAAGAAGGCCUGCGGGUUGUAAAGCACUUUCGGUUGGGAGGACUGCUUCUAGCACUAAUAUUGUUGGAAGUUGACGUUACCUUCAGAAGAAGCACCGGCUAACUCCGUGCCAGCAGUCGCGGUAAUACGGAGGGUGCAAGCGUUAAUCGGAAUUACUGGGCGUAUAGCGCGCGUAGGCAGCUAGAUCAGUCGGGUGUGAAAGCCCCGGGCUUAACCUGGGAACUGCAUCCGAUACUGUCUAGCUUGAGUACAGGAGAGGAGAGUGGAAUUCCACAUGUAGCGGUGAAAUGCGUAGAUAUGUGGAGGAACACCAAUGGCGAAGGCAGCUCUCUGGCCUGAUACUGACGCUGAGGUGCGAAAGCGUGGGGAGCAAACAGGAUUAGAUACCCGAGUAGUC
rnacentral:rRNA from 1 species